rnacentral:miRNA from 14 species
CGAAUUCGUUUCUACGGGUGACA